UGGGAAACUGGGGAUAAUACUGGAUAUUAGGCUAUGCCUGGAAUGGUUUGCCUUUGAAAUGUUUUUUCGCCUAAGGAUAGAUCUGCGGCUGAUUAGGUCGUUGGUGGGGUAAUGGCCCACCAAGCCGAUGAUCGGUACGGGUUGUGAGAGCAAGAGCCCGGAGAUGGAACCUGAGACAAGGUUCCAGACCCUACGGGGUGCAGCAGGCGCGAAACCUCCGCAAUGUACGAAAGUGCGACGGGGGGAUCCCAAGUGUCAUGCUUUUUUGUAUGACUUUUCAUUAGUGUAAAAAGCUUUUAGAAUAAGAGCUGGGCAAGACCGGUGCCAGCCGCCGCGGUAACACCGGCAGCUCGAGUGGUAGCUGUUUUUAUUGGGCCUAAAGCGUUCGUAGCCGGUUUGAUAAGUCUUUGGUGAAAGCUUGUAGCUUAACUAUAAGAAUUGCUGGAGAUACUAUUAGACUUGAAGUCGGGAGAGGUUAGAGGUACUACCGGGGUUAGGGUGAAAUCCUAUAAUCCUG
rnacentral:rRNA from 1 species